CAUCAGAGUGGACAGGCUACCUAAGCUCAAACAGCAGAUGGAUCCUUCUGACUUGGGAACUUAAUGCAAUCAUACCCACGUUAAAAUGGUAAAACGAAACUGCACCUGUGGGUCUAGGCACCGAAAGGGUCGGCGUAAGAGAGGCAAAAGUAAAAAGAAGAAGAACAAAAAAUGCGGCAGGAAGCUAAUCAGUAAGAAUGGGUAUGUGCGCAUUACGACCAUCUGCCGCUACAAGAAAAAAUAACCUCUGAUUUCUGGCUUGUCUUGGGAAAGUUUGUCUCAUUAACAAACCACCAGUCCUGAAGCCACCUGCUUCUUGAAUGUGAACAAUGGCGAUCAGCGGUCAUCAGCUUCAGCAUCUAAGAGAGCAGAUCAUCAGAUGGUUGACACUUCAAGACUCUGGAGUUUGUGCCCUAUAAUGGCCCUAAUGGUAGCCUGUCAUUACAGUUGUAAAAUGCA